AUUGUCGAAACCUGCCCAGCAGAAYGACCCGCGAACGUGUUGUGAAACUAUGGGGAUGCGUCGGGCACCGCCACGACGUUUCCCUGGGGGUCGGGUGCGGAUGGGUGGCCUCGUUCCAUCCCCCGUUCCCCGUCCCCACGAACAAAACCCCGGCGCAUGAUGCGCCAAGGAAUCUMAACGAGAAAAGGAACGUGCCCCCGUAGCGUGCCGGGAACGGAAUACGCACGGGUGGUUUCGUAUUCUUCGAAAACAAAACGACUCUCGGCAACGGAUAUCUCGGCUCUCGCAUCGAUGAAGAACGUAGCGAAAUGCGAUACUUGGUGUGAAUUGCANAAUCCCGUGAACCAUCGAGUCUUUGAACGCAAGUUGCGCCCGAAGCCCUCGGGCCGAGGGCACGUCUGCCUGGGUGUCAUGCAUCGUUGCCCCCAUCCCACUCCCUCCGCGGGAGCGAGGAAUUGCGGGGCGUACAAUGGCCUCCCGUGCGCUCCCGCUCGCGGUUGGCCUAAAUCCNAGUUGUUGGCGGCGAGUGCCACGGCAAGCGGUGGUUGGAAAGACCCUCGGACAGUGCCGUGUGCCGNCCCGCAUA
rnacentral:rRNA from 1 species